CUGUGACCUCUUCCGUUUCUUGCAGCUGCUUUGUGAGGGUCACAAUAAUGAUUUCCAGAACUACUUGCGGACACAGACAGGCAGUACAACUACCAUCAACAUCAUCAUCUGUACCGUGGAUUACCUCCUCCGACUCCAGGAGUCUAUCAGUGAUUUCUACUGGUAUUACUCUGGCAAGGACAUUAUUGAUGAACCAGGCAAAAAGAAUUUCUCCAAAGCUAUGACAGUGGCAAAACAGAUUUUCAAC
rnacentral:lncRNA from 1 species